rnacentral:ribozyme from 1 species
CGUCUGACAUGAUGGACGGGAGAGUUGGGGCGAUCAGACAAGCAUUGGACGACGAAGGGUUUACGAAUGUGAGCAUCAUGUCAUACACGGCGAAAUAUAAUUCGGCGUAUUACGGGCCGUUUAGAGAGGCUUUGGAUUCGGCGCCGCCGCCAGGUA